rnacentral:rRNA from 1 species
CCAGACUCCUACGGGAGGCAGCAGUGGGGAAUAUUGCACAAUGGGGGAAACCCUGAUGCAGCAACGCCGCGUGAGUGAAGAAGUAUUUCGGUAUGUAAAGCUCUAUCAGCAGGGAAGAGAAUGACGGUACCUGACUAAGAAGCCCCGGCUAACUACGUGCCAGCAUCCGCGGUAAUACGUAGGGGGCAAGCGUUAUCCGGAUUUACUGGGUGUAAAGGGAGCGCAGGCGGCGCGGUAAGUCUGAUGUGAAAGCCCGGGGCUCAACCCCGGGACUGCAUUGGAAACUGUCGUGCUGGAGUGUCGGAGGGGCAAGUGGAAUUCCUAGUGUAGCGGUGAAAUGCGUAGAUAUUAGGAGGAACACCAGUGGCGAAGGCGGCUUGCUGGACGACAACUGACGCUGAGACUCGAAAGCGUGGGGAGCAAACAGGAUUAGAUACCCUUGUAGU